CAGCAGCCGCGGUAAUACAGAGGUCCCGAGCGUUGUUCGGAUUCACUGGGCGUAAAGGGUGUGUAGGAGGUUGGAUAAGUCAGGUGUGAAAUCCCACAGCUUAACUGUGGAACUGCAUUCGAUACUGUCUGACUAGAGGAUCGGAGGGGGAAGCGGAAUUCUUGGUGUAGCGGUGAAAUGCGUAGAUAUCAAGAGGAACACCGGUGUCGAAGGCGGCUUCCUGGACGAUUCCUGACUCUGAAACACGAAAGCCAGGGGAGCGAAUGGGAUUAGAUACCCCUGUAGUCCCUGUCUCUUAUAA
rnacentral:rRNA from 1 species